AGUUAGGAUGAAUCAUAGUAGUCAGAUUGAUGUAGCUCCCUUAAUCGGUUGAGAGCCGAGGAAUUAGGGUAGUCAGUUGGGUGGCAAAGAUCUACCCCAACACGUCCCUUCCCCUUCAAGUGCAUCUUGGGCUACGUCGAGUCCACAGCCGAUUCGAUCCUUGAUGGUGCUGAUGCCCUCCAAUCCAUCGAACCCGUCGAUAAAUCUGAAGUCAUGGGCAGCACGUAGCCACCCGUACCGAAACCCGUCGGAGGUAGUGGUGCAUGCAGAAAUGGCUGGAGCCAUAGUCAUCCAC
rnacentral:lncRNA from 1 species